rnacentral:rRNA from 1 species
AGAGUUUGAUCAUGGCUCAGAGCGAACGCUGGCGGCAGGCUUAACACAUGCAAGUCGAACGGACAUCUUCGGAUGUUAGUGGCAGACGGGUGAGUAACACGUGGGAACAUACCCCUUGGUUCGGAAUAACUCAGGGAAACUUGAGCUAAUACCGGAUAAGUCCGCGAGGAGAAAGAUUCAUCGCCGAGGGAUUGGCCCGCGUCUGAUUAGCUAGUUGGUGAGGUAAUGGCUCACCAAGGCGACGAUCAGUAGCUGGUCUGAGAGGAUGAUCAGCCACACUGGGACUGAGACACGGCCCAGACUCCUACGGGAGGCAGCAGUGGGGAAUAUUGGACAAUGGGCGCAAGCCUGAUCCAGCCAUGCCGCGUGAGUGAUGAAGGCCCUAGGGUUGUAAAGCUCUUUUGUGCGGGAAGAUAAUGACUGUACCGCAAGAAUAAGCCCCGGCAAACUUCGUGCCAGCAGCCGCGGUAAUACGAAGGGGGCUAGCGUUGCUCGGAAUCACUGGGCGUAAAGGGCGCGUAGGCGGACUGUUAAGUCGGGGGUGAAAGCCCGGAGCUCAACUCCGGAAUUGCCUUCGAUACUGGCAGUCUCGAGACCGGAAGAGGUAAGUGGAACUGCGAGUGUAGAGGUGAAAUUCGUAGAUAUUCGCAAGAACACCAGUGGCGAAGGCGGCUUACUGGUCCGGUUCUGACGCUGAGGCGCGAAAGCGUGGGGAGCAAACAGGAUUAGAUACCCUAGUAGUCC